rnacentral:other from 1 species
AUAAUAAAGUUAUAUUUUAUGUUUAGUAAGAUCGCGAUGUCCCUAUCACCUUCUAACGACGGCUAGAAUAUAAUAUAGACUGUGCGACAGCACAAGGAGGAAUUGCAUAAUGGAGCAAGGUAAGGUAAAAUGGUUUAACUCAGAAAAAGGCUUCGGUUUUAUCGAACGCGAAAACGGCAACGAUGUAUUCGUUCACUUUUCUGCUAUUUUGGGUGAGGGCUAUAAGACCUUAGAAGAAGGCCAAGUUGUUAACUUCGAAGUUGAAGAAGGCGCUCGUGGUCCUCAAGCAGCAAAUGUUGAAAAAUUAGCUUAAUGCCAAUUAACACACAAAAAGCGAUGGAGCUUCCAUCGCUUUAUUUU